ensembl:snoRNA SNORD83 Small nucleolar RNA SNORD83
GCCACAGGAUGACCUCACAGAUGUGCAUUAGUGUUCUGCGCAGAGAUGACCCACCCUCUACACCCAAGGCUGAUGGCU